UGGGGAAUUUUGGACAAUGGGCGAAAGCCUGAUCCAGCAAUGCCGCGUGUGUGAAGAAGGCCUUCGGGUUGUAAAGCACUUUUGUCCGGAAAGAAAUCCUUGGCUCUAAUACAGUCGGGGGAUGACGGUACCGGAAGAAUAAGCACCGGCUAACUACGUGCCAGCAGCCGCGGUAAUACGUAGGGUGCAAGCGUUAAUCGGAAUUACUGGGCGUAAAGUGUGCGCAGGCGGUUUGCUAAGACCGAUGUGAAAUCCCCGGGCUCAACCUGGGAACUGCAUUGGUGACUGGCAGGCUAGAGUAUGGCAGAGGGGGUAGAAUUCCACGUGUAGCAGUGAAAUGCGUAGAGAUGUGGAGGAAUACCGAUGGUGAAGGCAGCCCCCUGGGCCAAUACUGACGCUCAUGCACGAAAGCGUGGGGAGCAAACAGGAUUAGAUACCCUGGUAGUCCACGCCCUAAACGAUGUCAACUAGUUGUUGGGGAUUCAUUUCCUUAGUAACGUAGCUAACGCGUGAAGUUGACCGCCUGGGGAGUACGGUCGCAAGAUUAAAACUUAAAUGAA
rnacentral:rRNA from 1 species